rnacentral:lncRNA from 1 species
UGAAAAAUAUCCCAGUAAUAACAUUCCUUUAUAAAAGAAACCUUUUAUAAAUCAGUCGUUUUAUUGUAAUCAAACUUCUAGAUUCCAUUCUUUCUGAACAGGUUCUGGUAAAAUGGGAACGGUUUCUAUUAAUCAACUGGACUCUCCUAGCUUAGUCGAUUUUCUAGCCAGCUUUCUCUCUCUCCUGUUCUCCGCAGCAGAUUUUCAAACACCGCAUUCCCCUUAAACCUCCCAGGCUCCCAUCACUCCCAGCAAAGAGCCAGCCCGCUACUUUAUGGAGACAGGAGAGACUGUCAGACAGUUCCUGCUGCUGCCCAGGUGCAUCUGAGGUCUUGCCUUGUCACCCAAGCUGGAGUACAGUGUCACAAUCACAGCUCACUGUAGGUUCAACCUCUCCGGCUUAAGUGAACCUCCCCCCUGAGCCUCCUGAGUAGCUGGGACCACAGUGAAUCAGUGCUGCUAUGAACAUUACUCUGGGUGUAUGCUUGGACAUAGAAUCUCUGGAGUACAGUCUCAACUGUUAAUUCAAAAUAAAAUGUUUGGCCCAGUGCGGUGGCUCACACCUGUAAUCCCAGCACUUUGGGAGGCC